AACGGCCAUACCAUGCUGAAUAUACCAGUUUUCGAUGGAUCACCGAAGGCAAGCAUCAUUGGGCGCGGUCAGUACUUGGGUGGGUGACCACCUGGGAACACUGCGUGCCGUU
rnacentral:rRNA from 1 species